GUAGGGAAUAUUGCGCAAUGGACGAAAGUCUGACGCAGCGACGCCGCGUGAGUGAUGAAGGCCUUAGGGUCGUAAAGCUCUGUUGAAUGGGAAGAAAAAAAUGACGGUACCAUUCGAGGAAGGACCGGCUAACUUCGUGCCAGCAGCCGCGGUAAUACGAGGGGUCCUAGCGUUGUUCGGAAUCAUUGGGCGUAAAGGGUGUGUAGGUGGCCAUGUAAGUCAGGUGUGAAAGCCCCGGGCUCAACCAGGGAAGUGCACUUGAUACUGCGUGGCUUGAGUACCGAAGAGGGUAGUGGAAUUCCAGGUGUAGUGGUGAAAUACGUAGAUAUCUGGAGGAACACCGGUGGCGAAGGCGGCUACCUGGUCGAGUACUGACACUGAGACACGAAAGCAUGGGGAUCAAACAGGAUUAGAAACCCGAGUAGUCC
rnacentral:rRNA from 1 species